AUCUUAUCCAGAGUGGUGGAGGGAAAUGCCCUAUGAAGCCCAGCAACCUAAACAAUAAUUCAUUAUGUGUUUAAGGUGCUAAGUCAUGCAGAACAACUAAUUGUUCUGAAAGAUGAGAA
rfam:Listeria monocytogenes EGD-e, complete genome